rnacentral:lncRNA from 1 species
AAGUAAACGAGAAAGAAAUUGGAUGACAAAGUAGUCAAGUGCGUUUUUAAUCGGCUAUGCAGAAAAUAUGAAAGCUUAUAAAUUGUAUGAUCCAGCAGCAGAAAAAAUCAUAAUCAGUAGAGAUGUUAAAUUUGAUGAAACUAAAUCAUGGGAUUGGAAAGGAAAAGAAAAGAUAAAUAAAAGUAUUAGCAUUCAAUUUGAAGAUAAUUCCG